GCUUUAACACUGCAAUGACUCCAGGAACCAGUCAGGACAUGGUUGAUCCUGAAGAAGGUGUUUCCUACGCCUCCAUCAGCUACACCAAGAACACCAACAGUAAAGCCCGGGUUCAUGGUGAUGAUGAUGAUGCAGUGACCUACAGCACUGUGAAAGCUUCCUCCUCUUCUACUGGAGCCUCCACUGAUCUCAGCAACCUCUACGCUACUGUCAACAAACCCAAAAAAUAAGUGAUAACAGUGUUCAUAUCAUUACAUUUCAUUCAUUACGGAUUAGUUAAAGCUUUAGCAAAGCAAUUAGCCUUUACGUCAUAAUAGAGACUGCAUCCUUGUGGGGAAUUUGUCUAUGCAGUGCAAAC